rnacentral:sRNA from 1 species
ACAUUUCGGUAGGUGAGGUUACCACAGGGAUUUGGUUUGAUUCCUUAAGAUUGCUGCCGCGGAAUUGUGGAGACACAAUGAGCUGGUUAGCAGGAUAUGUCGUGAAGGCAUAACCUAAUGCAAUUAUUACGCCCUGUGAUGCUAAAGCUUGAACGGUG